rnacentral:misc_RNA from 1 species
AAGACUAUAGACCUGCGGAGUACCUGCGGAAGGAUCAUUACAGAGUUAUCAAACUCCUAAACCCUUUGUUAAUUUACCUAUUUGUUUCUUCGGCAGGUGGUCCCUGGGAGGGUCCUGCAGCCUGUUAAGGUACCUGCCGAAGGUCAUAACUCGGUUUUACAUUAUGUGUCUAAGUCUUACUAUAAAAUAAGUCAAAACUUUUAACAAUGGAUCUCU